UUGAUACCUCUCUUCUUCUUCUUCUUCCACGCAGCUUACACCAAACUCUAACCUGCUAGACUUUCUCAAGCUUGGAUCUUCUCUUUCGUUCGCAAUUAAGUUAAGGCCAUGGAGCAAACUAGCGACAAAAUCGAAACAUCAGGGAGUAAAAUGACUAUUUUUAAAGGAUUGGGGCAAAGUCGUUGAAACGACCAAACCACAGGGAGCAAAACAGAAAUUUACUCAAAUAAUAAUAUUGGGCACGGUUUCUAUUAUUUUCUCAUAGUACACUGGAAAUAGGACUGAUAAAAGAUCUAACCUAAAUAUGUGAAGGGGUCCAAAAUCCAAAUGGUUUUGAGUUUUUGACUGCUUAUGAACUACGCAUGUUGUUUAUGUAAUGAAUUAUACAUUUAGGUGCUGUUUGUUUUUCAGAGAUAAAAUGUCUGCAGUCUACGGACCACAUCUGCAGCUGAAGAGGUGGACCAAACCUCUGCAGUCUUCUAGAAGAAGACUGUUUGUUUUUUAUGUAACAAAGCAAAGAUCUGCUGAAAUUAACCACCUCAUAUGUGAACAAGGAACUAGUUUCAA